UGCAGGUUGCAUUCUGUCGCCCCCUCCAUGUAGUUUCAUGGGGAAUGGCGGUUAGAAAGGAAAGAAGGGGAAAAAAAAAAUAACUACAAGCAACGACUUGAGUAACGUAACUCGUGAUAUAACUUUAACCCAGUCCAGGGAAGGACACAUGUACCCGGACAGGAAUAAUAAAUAUACCGAGGCGGUUGGAUGUUCAAUUGUAUGUAACCCGUCGGAGCCCCGUCGUAUCGGAUAGGGUUUAAGAUCCUGGGGUUGAGCAGCCAAUCGCAAUGUUUUGGCCCCGAGUUAAGCAACGAGAAGGAUCAUGACG
rnacentral:sRNA from 2 species